UUUCGAGAAUCCUCGUAUGGAAGCGCCAAGAGAACAAUAACUCUGGCUCGCUUGUCCCAUUCUCGCGAGGCUUGCUGGGUCUCACGAGAUUGAACCAAAGUUUACAGUUCUUUCCUAUGUUCUGAGGCAAUGAAAUAAUAUUGUAAGAUAUAUGCUGCAACUUAGAAUCAUAGAAUCCUAGAGUUGGAAGAGACCUCGUGGCCCAUCCAGUCCAAAACCAUUCUGCCAAGAAGCAGGAAAACCACAUUCGAAGCACCCCGACAGAUGGCCAUCCAGCCUUUGCUUCAAAGCCUCCAAAGAAGAGCCUUCACCACACUCCACGGCAGAGAGUUCCACUACUGUACGGCGAAGAAGUUAUUCCUCAUGUUCAGGUGGAAUCUCCUGUUUAAAUGGUUUUAAAUUGUGUUGUUUGAUGUCUAAAUUGUUAUUUUAUGAUUUUAUGUGAUUAUAUUGGGCUUGUUCCCCAUGUGAGCCGCCCCGAGUCCCCUUCUGGGGAGAUGGAGGCGGCAUACAAAAAUAAAUUUAUUAUUAUUAUUUCUUAUAGUUUGAAGCUGUUGUUCCACAUCAUAGUCUCCAGAACAGCAGAAAACAAGCUGGCUCCCUCCUCCCUAUGACAUCCCUCACAUAUUUAUAUAUGGCCCCCAAAUGUUUUGGCCUUCAACUUCCAGAAAUCCUUACAGCUGGUAAACUGGCUGGGAUUUCUGAGAGUUGUAGGGCAAAACAUCUGGCUUGUUAUUUGUAGGUACCCCUGUGUGUUUUCCUUGCUCACCCCGAGUGGAUGUCGGGUAGGCCCCCAAAUGGCCCUUAGUCUCUUUCACACUCGCCCGGCCCGUUUUCCCAACCAAUAAUAAUAACUUUAUUUUUAUACCCCGCCCCAUCUCCCCGAAGGGACUCGGGGCGGCUUACAUGGGGCCAGGCCCAAUAAAACAAACAAAACAGUAACAAAACAAUAAGACAAUUAUCCCAUUAAAAAAACAUCAACAUCAAUAAAAACAAUCAUUAAAAUCAACAAGCAGGAUACAGUGUUAAAAACAGGAGACUAAUUUGUAGAUCCCAGGCGAAAUGCAGAGUGAUACGAAAUGGGAAAAGGAAAUCUCAAGUUGAAUGGACAAUAAAGUGCUGUAUAAAAUGGCAAAACAACAACAACGGGACUAUUAUGGAAUGGACAGAUAGAUCAAUCCAGCAACAAAUAAACAUCGAAGGCCUUUUGAAACAGCCAGGUUUUUAAGCUCUUCCGGAAGGAGAGGAGGGUAGGGGCCUGCCUGAUCUCUCUAGGUAGAGAGUUCCAAAGCCGGGGGGCCACGACGGAGAAGGCCCUCUCUCUCAUCCCCACCAACCGUGACUGUGAGGGUGGUGGGAGCGCGAGAAGGGCAUCCCCCGAUGAGCGAAGAGAACGUGUGGGUUCAUAGAGGGAGAUGCGGUCUCUAAGGUAGGUGGGUCCCAAACCAUUUAGGGCUUUGUAGGUGAUAACCUGCACCUUGAAUUGGGCCCGGAAAGUAAAUGGCAGCCAGUGAAGCUCCUUAAACAGAGGCGUUGAACGCUCCCUGUAAUUCGCUCCGGUUAAAAGCCUGGCUGCCGAACGCUGUAUUAGUUGUAAUUUCCGGGCCGUCUUCAAAGGCAGCCCCACGUAGAGCGCAUUUCAAUAGUCCAGUCUAGAGGUAACUAAGGCAUGGACCACCCUGGUCAGAUCAGACUUCUCGAGGUAUGGUCGCAGCUGGCGCACAAGUUUUAGUUGUGCAAAGGCCCUCCCGGCCACGGCCGACACCUGAGCCUCAAGCGUCAGCCCCGAAUCCAGGAGGACCCCCAAGCUGCGGACCUGCACCUUCAGGGGGAGUGCGACCCCAUCAAGCACAGGUUGCCACCCAAUACCCCGAUCAGACGUACGACUGACCUGGAGGACCUCUGUCUUGUCGGGAUUAAGUCUCAGUUUGUUCACCCUCAUCCAGGCCAACACAGCGGCCAGAUACUGGUCCAGAAUCCGAGGGGCUUCCUUGGAUUUAGGUGGAAAAGAGUAGUAAGAGUUUAUUAUGCACCAGAAUUUGUUGCAGAAUUUCGUUUGGACGUGAGUGAAGAAAGCAGACUGACAACAGAAGUUGUCUUCAAGAUAGUUUACUUUUGGCCAGGAACAGGUGACAAUGUUUGCUAAUGUCCAGAAAAAACAAUGCCACACCUUGCUUGUAGUGGCUUUCCAAUUUAUACAAUUUUACACAAGCAUGUGCAAAAAGCUAACUGACAAUGGAAUUUGCUGACUAUUAUUGAUGAAGGUUUAUUGGGAAAAUAUAAUACUUGUAUUGGAAACUAUAUAUUGAAUGUAAUCAUGUUAAGAAAUAGAAAUAGGAAAAUGUAAUCAUAAGCAGAAUUGUAGGCCUAUAGCCCAAAAAUACACUCUGCUCAGCAAAAGCAAGACCAAAGUUCACCCUGAGUGCCAGGGACGUAUGUUAAGUAUCAACAAGAGUAGAUAAGCUAAUGGACAAAAGACAAAUUAAAGCUUUUUGGGAUGUCAAGAUAGGACCUGGCGCCAGGGGGGAAUACUAAUUACUCUCUCUGACAAGCUAAGGUAGGGAGGAAAUUCCUUAAUUAAUGGAGGACGAGGGGGAGUCCUAAUGGAUGAGAUGAGAAUUCCAGAGAUCAGGCUAAUGGAGGGUCAGAGGUCUUGAAUUAGUCUAUAUUUUAGGAAAAUGCAAAGAUAGCUUUUAGUUAAGUGCCAAGUAAGACUUUUUUGACACUAAUUGGUGAUUGAUAAUACCUAUGUGACAUAGAUGGAGGUAGACCAAAAUAGUAUAUAAGGAUCUGUGUUUCUUUGUCUGCCACCUUCGCUUUCCUGAUUACAGGAGAAGGUCUCCUUUUUCUUAUUGCUAUAUUCUCACUGGUCACUGAGAAUAAACGUCAUUUUUUCUACA